rnacentral:rRNA from 1 species
GACGAACGCUGGCGGCGUGCUUAACACAUGCAAGUCGAACGGAAAGGCCCUGCUUUUGUGGGGUGCUCGAGUGGCGAACGGGUGAGUAACACGUGAGUAACCUGCCCUUGACUUUGGGAUAACUUCAGGAAACUGGGGCUAAUACCGGAUAGGAGCUCCUGCUGCAUGGUGGGGGUUGGAAAGUUUCGGCGGUUGGGGAUGGACUCGCGGCUUAUCAGCUUGUUGGUGGGGUAGUGGCUUACCAAGGCUUUGACGGGUAGCCGGCCUGAGAGGGUGACCGGCCACAUUGGGACUGAGAUACGGCCCAGACUCCUACGGGAGGCAGCAGUGGGGAAUAUUGCACAAUGGGCGGAAGCCUGAUGCAGCAACGCCGCGUGCGGGAUGACGGCCUUCGGGUUGUAAACCGCUUUCGCCUGUGACGAAGCGUGAGUGACGGUAAUGGGUAAAGAAGCACCGGCUAACUACGUGCCAGCAGCCGCGGUGAUACGUAGGGUGCGAGCGUUGUCCGGAUUUAUUGGGCGUAAAGGGCUCGUAGGUGGUUGAUCGCGUCGGAAGUGUAAUCUUGGGGCUUAACCCUGAGCGUGCUUUCGAUACGGGUUGACUUGAGGAAGGUAGGGGAGAAUGGAAUUCCUGGUGGAGCGGUGGAAUGCGCAGAUAUCAGGAGGAACACCAGUGGCGAAGGCGGUUCUCUGGGCCUUUCCUGACGCUGAGGAGCGAAAGCGUGGGGAGCGAACAGGCUUAGAUACCCUGGUAGUCCACGCUGUAAACGGUGGGUACUAGGUGUGGGGUCCAUUCCACGGGUUCCGUGCCGUAGCUAACGCUUUAAGUACCCCGCCUGGGGAGUACGGCCGCAAGGCUAAAACUCAAAGGAAUUGACGGGGCCCCGCACAAGCGGCGGAGCAUGCGGAUUAAUUCGAUGCAACGCGUAGAACCUUACCUGGGUUUGACAUGGAUCGGGAGUGCUCAGAGAUGGGUGUGCCUCUUUUGGGGUCGGUUCACAGGUGGUGCAUGGCUGUCGUCAGCUCGUGUCGUGAGAUGUUGGGUUAAGUCCCGCAACGAGCGCAACCCUUGUUCACUGUUGCCAGCACGUUAUGGUGGGGACUCAGUGGAGACCGCCGGGGUCAACUCGGAGGAGGGUGGGGAUGACGUCAAGUCAUCAUGCCCCUUAUGUCCAGGGCUUCACGCAUGCUACAAUGGCUGGUACAGAGAGUGGCGAGCCUGUGAGGGUGAGCGAGUCUCGGAAAGCCGGUCUCAGUUCGGAUUGGGGUCUGCAACUCGACCUCAUGAAGUCGGAGUCGCUAGUAAUCGCAGAUCAGCAACGCUGCGGUGAAUACGUUCCCGGGGCU